UGAAACUGUGGGCUUGAAGGAGUUCGUGCCUCAGGGAGGUGGUGGGUGUUUGGAGCCUCUACCUGAACCAACAACCAAGUACUUAGUAUCUUAAGCUGUUCCCAGGACUCUGGUUAGCAAGGACGUUAACGCACCCAGGAGACAAGGGAUGGAAGCUAUGGCCUCCAGCUCCUCAGCAAAAGAACAGCAAGGAAGCGUGUGGAGCCUCGGCCAUUGGAGACUUGGGAGGGUCUGUUGAUUUGAGGUGUUGCCGCCACAGUCAGGACCACUGAAGAAGUGAGCCUCCUUACCCAUGAAGAGGCCACGAUGCGCAGAGUGUCACUGUUGGGGGUUGGUCUGGCGCUAUGUAUUUGUUAUUUGCUGGCUCCCCAAGAUCUGGUUACACCCCAGAGGAGCACAUUCCCACACACACCAAGUGACGCUGUGUAACUUUGCCCCCCACCUUCAUCAUACGUCAUUAGCCAAUAAAGCAGCUGACACCUGGGCUGGACCGAAGAGA